UUCCAAUCGUUUACCCAAAAA
rnacentral:piRNA from 1 species